rnacentral:misc_RNA from 1 species
GAUGAAGAACGUAGCGAAAUGCGAAAAGUAAUGUGAAUUGCAGAAUUCAGUGAAUCAUCGAAUCUUUGAACGCACAUUGCGCCCGCUGGUACUCCGGCGGGCACGCCUGUCCGAGCGUCAUUUCAACCCUCAAGCCCUCCUUCGGGAUGGGCCUGGUGUUGGGGCUCGGCCGCCAUCUCCGGCGGCCGUCCCCUAAAUACAGUGGCGGUCACGUCGCGACUCCUUUGCGUAGUAGAAACACCUCGCUCCGGAUAGCAACGCGGUCCACGCCGUAAAACCCCCAAUUUUCAAUGGUUGACCUCGGAUCAGGUGGGAAUACGCGCUGAACUUAAGCAUAUCAAUAAGCGGAGGA